GCUCCGAUAGUGUAGUCCGGUCAAAGAUGUCUUACAAACGACUCGACAAAGCAUUCGGGCCUUUCGAGUCCGCUACCCGGGUUCAAAUCCCGGUCGGAGCA
rnacentral:tRNA from 1 species